UGCGUGAGGAAAAAGACAUCAUCCCUUGAGGUAAAAUUAGGUUUGCUUCCUUUUACUACCAAAAUCUUAUUACCGUGGGUAAAAAGAAUCAUCAUGGGGGUAUAAAAGGAACUAAAUUUAAAUUUAACUCAAGGGAUCUUGGUGUCGUUUUUCCCAACAGG
rnacentral:pre_miRNA from 1 species